rnacentral:rRNA from 1 species
AGAGUUUGAUCAUGGCUCAGGAUGAACGCUAGCGACAGGCUUAACACAUGCAAGUCGAGGGGCAGCAUGAUUUGUAGCAAUACAGAUUGAUGGCGACCGGCGCACGGGUGAGUAACGCGUAUGCAACUUACCUAUCAGAGGGGGAUAGCCCGGCGAAAGUCGGAUUAAUACCCCAUAAAACAGGGGUCCCGCAUGGGAAUAUUUGUUAAAGAUUCAUCGCUGAUAGAUAGGCAUGCGUUCCAUUAGGCAGUUGGCGGGGUAACGGCCCACCAAACCGACGAUGGAUAGGGGUUCUGAGAGGAAGGUCCCCCACAUUGGUACUGAGACACGGACCAAACUCCUACGGGAGGCAGCAGUGAGGAAUAUUGGUCAAUGGCCGAGAGGCUGAACCAGCCAAGUCGCGUGAAGGAAGAAGGAUCUAUGGUUUGUAAACUUCUUUUAUAGGGGAAUAAAGUGGAGGACGUGUCCUUUUUUGUAUGUACCCUAUGAAUAAGCAUCGGCUAACUCCGUGCCAGCAGCCGCGGUAAUACGGAGGAUGCGAGCGU